rnacentral:tRNA from 1 species
GGCAUCUUGGCUUAGUUGGUUAAAGUUCCUGUCUCGUAAACAGGAGAUCCUGGGUUCAAAUCCCAGCAGUGCAG